CAGCGGCCACAUCCAGACCACUACCAAUAGAUGUAAUUAGAGCUGAUAGGCCACUACUAGGGCUUCCACCAGCAGCCAUCCCCAAUCCCAGAAAAUCUAGGGUAGUUUGCUUAGGACCAAACACAGAAGGAGUUCCCAUCAUCAAUUCCUUUAAUCCGGAACCUCCAUCACAAUGUAAGCCUAAUCCCAGCCCUGCAGUGACAGAGGUAUUCUCAGGCUCUACUUGCCCGUGACCCCAUGGCAUAUUGUCUUGCUGUGAAGAUGAUGAAGAAGAUGACAC
rnacentral:misc_RNA from 1 species